GGCCAUAGCUCAGGGGGAGAGCAUCUGCAUGGCAUUCAGAAGAUCCCAGGUUCAGUCCCCGGCAACUCCA